rnacentral:rRNA from 1 species
GGGUUGUGAGGUUAAGCGACUAAGCGUACACGGUGGAUGCCCUGGCAGUCAGAGGCGAUGAAGGACGUGCUAAUCUGCGAAAAGCGUCGGUAAGGUGAUAUGAACCGUUAUAACCGGCGAUGUCCGAAUGGGGAAACCCAGUGCAAUUCGUUGCACUAUCGUUAACUGAAUACAUAGGUUAACGAGGCGAACCGGGGGAACUGAAACAUCUAAGUACCCCGAGGAAAAGAAAUCAACCGAGAUUCCCCCAGUAGCGGCGAGCGAACGGGGAGCAGCCCAGAGUCUGAAUCAGCUUGUGUGUUAGUGGAACGGUCUGGAAAGUCCGACGGUACAGGGUGAUAGUCCCGUACACCAAAAUGCACAGGUUGUGAACUCGAAGAGUAGGGCGGGACACGUGGUAUCCUGUCUGAAUAUGGGGGGACCAUCCUCCAAGGCUAAAUACUCCUGACUGACCGAUAGUGAACCAGUACCGUGAGGGAAAGGCGAAAAGAACCCCGGCGAGGGGAGUGAAAAAGAACCUGAAACCGUGUACGUACAAGCAGUGGGAGCACCUUCGGGUGUGACUGCGUACCUUUUGUAUAAUGGGUCAGCGACUUAUAUUCUGUAGCAAGGUUAACCGUAUAGGGGAGCCGCAGGGAAACCGAGUCUUAACUGGGCGUUAAGUUGCAGGGUAUAGACCCGAAACCCGGUGAUCUAGCCAUGGGCAGGUUGAAGGUUGGGUAACACUAACUGGAGGACCGAACCGACUAAUGUUGAAAAAUUAGCGGAUGACUUGUGGCUGGGGGUGAAAGGCCAAUCAAACCGGGAGAUAGCUGGUUCUCCCCGAAAGCUAUUUAGGUAGCGCCUCGUGAAUUCAUCUUCGGGGGUAGAGCACUGUUUCGGCUAGGGGGUCAUCCCGACUUACCAACCCGAUGCAAACUACGAAUACCGAAGAAUGUUAUCACGGGAGACACACGGCGGGUGCUAACGUCCGUCGUGAAGAGGGAAACAACCCAGACCGCCAGCUAAGGUCCCAAAGUCAUGGUUAAGUGGGAAACGAUGUGGGAAGGCACAGACAGCCAGGAUGUUGGCUUAGAAGCAGCCAUCAUUUAAAGAAAGCGUAAUAGCUCACUGGUCGAGUCGGCCUGCGCGGAAGAUGUAACGGGGCUAAACCAUGCACCGAAGCUGCGGCAGCGACACUAUGUGUUGUUGGGUAGGGGAGCGUUCUGUAAGCCUGCGAAGGUGACCUGUGAGGGUUGCUGGAGGUAUCAGAAGUGCGAAUGCUGACAUAAGUAACGAUAAAGCGGGUGAAAAGCCCGCUCGCCGGAAGACCAAGGGUUCCUGUCCAACGUUAAUCGGGGCAGGGUGAGUCGACCCCUAAGGCGAGGCCGAAAGGCGUAGUCGAUGGGAAACAGGUUAAUAUUCCUGUACUUGGUGUUACUGCGAAGGGGGGACGGAGAAGGCUAUGUUAGCCGGGCGACGGUUGUCCCGGUUUAAGCAUGUAGGCUGGUUGUCCAGGCAAAUCCGGAUAAUCAAGGCUGAGGUGUGAUGACGAGGCACUACGGUGCUGAAGUAACAAAUGCCCUGCUUCCAGGAAAAGCCUCUAAGCAUCAGGUAACAUCAAAUCGUACCCCAAACCGACACAGGUGGUCAGGUAGAGAAUACCAAGGCGCUUGAGAGAACUCGGGUGAAGGAACUAGGCAAAAUGGUGCCGUAACUUCGGGAGAAGGCACGCUGGUGUGUAGGUGAAGCCCCUGCGGGUGGAGCUGAGACCAGUCGAAGAUACCAGCUGGCUGCAACUGUUUAUUAAAAACACAGCACUGUGCAAACACGAAAGUGGACGUAUACGGUGUGACGCCUGCCCGGUGCCGGAAGGUUAAUUGAUGGGGUUAUCCGUAAGGAGAAGCUCUUGAUCGAAGCCCCGGUAAACGGCGGCCGUAACUAUAACGGUCCUAAGGUAGCGAAAUUCCUUGUCGGGUAAGUUCCGACCUGCACGAAUGGCGUAAUGAUGGCCAGGCUGUCUCCACCCGAGACUCAGUGAAAUUGAACUCGCUGUGAAGAUGCAGUGUACCCGCGGCAAGACGGAAAGACCCCGUGAACCUUUACUAUAGCUUGACACUGAACAUUGAGCCUUGAUGUGUAGGAUAGGUGGGAGGCUUUGAAGCGUGGACGCCAGUCUGCGUGGAGCCAACCUUGAAAUACCACCCUUUAAUGUUUGAUGUUCUAACGUUGGCCCCUGACCGGGGUUGCGGACAGUGUCUGGUGGGUAGUUUGACUGGGGCGGUCUCCUCCCAAAGCGUAACGGAGGAGCACGAAGGUUAGCUAAUCCUGGUCGGACAUCAGGAGGUUAGUGCAAUGGCAUAAGCUAGCUUGACUGCGAGCGUGACGGCGCGAGCAGGUGCGAAAGCAGGUCAUAGUGAUCCGGUGGUUCUGAAUGGAAGGGCCAUCGCUCAACGGAUAAAAGGUACUCCGGGGAUAACAGGCUGAUACCGCCCAAGAGUUCAUAUCGACGGCGGUGUUUGGCACCUCGAUGUCGGCUCAUCACAUCCUGGGGCUGAAGUAGGUCCCAAGGGUAUGGCUGUUCGCCAUUUAAAGUGGUACGCGAGCUGGGUUUAGAACGUCGUGAGACAGUUCGGUCCCUAUCUGCCGUGGGCGCUGGAGAAUUGAGGGGGCUGCUCCUAGUACGAGAGGACCGGAGUGGACGCAUCACUGGUGUUCGGGUUGUCAUGCCAAUGGCACUGCCCGGUAGCUAAAUGCGGAAGAGAUAAGUGCUGAAAGCAUCUAAGCACGAAACUUGCCCCGAGAUGAGUUCUCCCUGAGACUUUAAGUCUCCUGAAGGAACGUUAAAGACGAUGACGUUGAUAGGCCGGGUGUGUAAGCGCAGCGAUGCGUUGAGCUAACCGGUACUAAUGAACCGUGAGGCUUAACCUUACAACGCCGAAG